rnacentral:rRNA from 1 species
AUACGGAGGAUCCGAGCGUUAUCCGGAUUUAUUGGGUUUAAAGGGUGCGCAGGCGGCCAUUUAAGUCAGCGGUUAAAUCGUGGGGCUCAACCCCAUUCUGCCGUUGAUACUGGGUGGCUUGAUUGCGGUCGAGGUUGGCGGAAUUCGUUGUGUAGCGGUGAAAUGCAUAGAUAUGACGAAGAACACCGAUUGCGUAGGCAGCUGACCAGAUCGCAAAUGACGCUCAUGCACGAGAGUGCGGGGAUCGAACAGGAUUAGAUACCCUGGUAGUCCACACAGUAAACGAUGAAUACUCGCUGUUUGCGAUAUACAGUAAGCGGCCAAGCGAAAGCGUUAAGUAUUCCACCUGGGGAGUACGCCGGCAACGGUGAAACUCAAAUGAAUUGACGGGG